ensembl:lncRNA
CUUCAAAAAGAGUAAAACCCCAGCAUAUGGAUGAAACUAAAGAUGGCCAAUUCCUGAGACAGAGGAAAGAAAAGGGAGGAAGAUUAAAGAAAAGGUCAAAACAGAACAUGCUGUGCCCACACAUGUCUUCUGGGCUAAUAAAUAUCCUCCUUGGAAACAUUCUGGGAGGCGGCGAGUCUCGAUUGUUGUGGAAAAGUCCUGGGAACUGAGAAGGACGAGAAAGUCUUACGGCUGCCAUUGCCCAGCUGAGAAAGAAAAAAAAGAUGGAAACGACACAUUGGUUCAAUGACUGGGAAAUGGCUGGAUAAAUUGUGGUCUUUCUGUGAAAUGGAACAUUAUCACACCAUAAAAAAUAAUGAAUGUGAACAAUACAAAGAAAUAGGCAAAGACCACUAAAAAGUGAUGGAGAGUGAAGAAAACAUAUACAUCGACUAUUAUGGAUGUACUGAAAGGACCAUCGAAAUCUGACUAGAUAAGCACUCAGAAAUUGGAGGAAGACUCAGAGCCAAAGUGCGAGGGCUAUUUUAUUUGAUUUGAGGUUAUUUGUUUUUUUUCCCUUCUUGAAAUGGAAGUAGUUGAAAGUUUGUGCUUUUGUGAGGUACUUUAUUCCUCAUUUCAUUCGUUUAUUUGGUGGUUCAGCAUCUUAUUAAGUUUAUUAUAAAACUGAUUUUAUAGACCCUAAACAGAAAAACAAGGAAAACCUUCAUGAGCUCAACCAGAGAAGGCGGUGGGGAACAUGGGAAUGGGUUUUCCAAAUGAACUGAGCAUUCAUUAAAACAACAAGACAGUGAAUAGAGGCAAAGACAAAGCUCCUACCAAGUAUUUUACAGUUUGAAUUCGGUGAGAAAUUUCUCCAUCCCUGUUGUUUUGCUGAUUCUCCCAUAGAGGAACAACAUCUGUAAAAGCGACAGGGGCAGGGGAGCCAGAUUCUCACUCCAGGCUCCAAUCCAGCAGCUUUUCUCCCAGGCAAGAUCUGGAUGAGGUUGAUUGGAAGCUGCCCCAAGGACUACGCUGUUCAUAAGCCUUUCUUUCCUUGUCCUGGAUAAUACCAGGGAAAUUCCCUCAUCAUUUGCUCUAAGUGUUUAUUUUGGGUCAGCCUCCCAGUAGUCCCCAAGACACUAAAGCGUCUUAUCUAUGGGCUAUAUUCCCACAGAGUCACCUAUGGGGAGAAGCUCAUGGAGUCACCCAUUCCCAAGUCUGGGAAGCAGUCAAGACUGGAACAUGCAAUAAAGUUGAUGGG